UUAAAAUUAAUUGGGAUCAUUGGAUAACUAUUAGGUGGAUAUGGUCCACGUGUAUAAACAAUAAAUUGGCAGCAAAUAUUUUAGAUGUAGGACAUUGGGUAUUGUAGCAAAAGUUAGUGAUAAGUACUAAGAAAAGUUUGGCCAUGAAGGAACACGUGUCUUGCAAGACCCUUUUAAGCUCUUAUUACUUCACUUUAUUUGUUAUUUUACAUAAGAGAAUGAAAGCAGCAACACAAUUUUAUCAUUGUGAGCACUAACGUUUGCUUCAUUUUGACGGAGAUGAACAACAAUUUUUCUCUUCAACCAAAAAAAUACUAGAUUUCAGUAUUGGGGAAAAUACAAAUAAUUACAAAGAGGUUAUAUAAAUGUUGGUUUCCUCCGGAUUCUAGCAAAUUUGGGUUUUCUUCAAAGUAAAGUAAAGUGGAAGAAGAUCAUUUUUUGGUAUAUAAGAUUCCACUUUGAGGGAGACUCAGCUCGUGAGCCUAUGAAAAGAGUUGGUAUAAGGUACAGACGAUCGAUUUGCUGAUCCGCCCGCUUAGGAUCCUAUUCCGCUGUCUUGGAGUGCUCUUUUGUCCGGAGCCUAUAUUUUGGUACAGUCCUUUGCUAUUGUAUAUAUGUACGCUAUUCAGGGGCAUGACGGGGCCCUGUCCCGUCUUAUGAUUCUGUUAUGAUCUGUAGAGGUCUGUAGACAUACAUGUGGGUUCUGUAUAUGUUUUGGGUGAUAUAAUCUGUGAUAGCCUCAUCGGCUUCCACGUGCUAUAUUUGUUCACCUGUGAUAGUU